rnacentral:rRNA from 1 species
GGUUAAGCGACUAAGCGUACACGGUGGAUGCCCUGGCAGUCAGAGGCGAUGAAGGACGUGCUAAUCUGCGAUAAGCGUCGGUGAGGUGAUAUGAACCGUUAUAACCGGCGAUUUCCGAAUGGGGAAACCCAGUGUGUUUCGACACACUAUCAUUAACUGAAUCCAUAGGUUAAUGAGGCGAACCGGGGGAACUGAAACAUCUAAGUACCCCGAGGAAAAGAAAUCAACCGAGAUUCCCCCAGUAGCGGCGAGCGAACGGGGAGGAGCCCAGAGCCUGAAUCAGUGUGUGUGUUAGUGGAAGCGUCUGGAAAGGCGUGCGAUACAGGGUGACAGCCCCGUACACAAAAAUGCACAUAUUGUGAGCUCGAUGAGUAGGGCGGGACACGUGGUAUCCUGUCUGAAUAUGGGGGGACCAUCCUCCAAGGCUAAAUACUCCUGACUGACCGAUAGUGAACCAGUACCGUGAGGGAAAGGCGAAAAGAACCCCGGCGAGGGGAGUGAAAAAGAACCUGAAACCGUGUACGUACAAGCAGUGGGAGCCUCUUAAUGGGGUGACUGCGUACCUUUUGUAUAAUGGGUCAGCGACUUAUAUUCUGUAGCAAGGUUAACCGAAUAGGGGAGCCGAAGGGAAACCGAGUCUUAACUGGGCGUUAAGUUGCAGGGUAUAGACCCGAAACCCGGUGAUCUAGCCAUGGGCAGGUUGAAGGUUGGGUAACACUAACUGGAGGACCGAACCGACUAAUGUUGAAAAAUUAGCGGAUGACUUGUGGCUGGGGGUGAAAGGCCAAUCAAACCGGGAGAUAGCUGGUUCUCCCCGAAAGCUAUUUAGGUAGCGCCUCGUGAAUUCAUCUCCGGGGGUAGAGCACUGUUUCGGCAAGGGGGUCAUCCCGACUUACCAACCCGAUGCAAACUGCGAAUACCGGAGAAUGUUAUCACGGGAGACACACGGCGGGUGCUAACGUCCGUCGUGAAGAGGGAAACAACCCAGACCGCCAGCUAAGGUCCCAAAGUCAUGGUUAAGUGGGAAACGAUGUGGGAAGGCCCAGACAGCCAGGAUGUUGGCUUAGAAGCAGCCAUCAUUUAAAGAAAGCGUAAUAGCUCACUGGUCGAGUCGGCCUGCGCGGAAGAUGUAACGGGGCUAAACCAUGCACCGAAGCUGCGGCAGCGACACUAUGUGUUGUUGGGUAGGGGAGCGUUCUGUAAGCCUGUGAAGGUGGCCUGUGAGGGUUGCUGGAGGUAUCAGAAGUGCGAAUGCUGACAUAAGUAACGAUAAAGCGGGUGAAAAGCCCGCUCGCCGGAAGACCAAGGGUUCCUGUCCAACGUUAAUCGGGGCAGGGUGAGUCGACCCCUAAGGCGAGGCCGAAAGGCGUAGUCGAUGGGAAACAGGUUAAUAUUCCUGUACUUGGUGUUACUGCGAAGGGGGGACGGAGAAGGCUAUGUUGGCCGGGCGACGGUUGUCCCGGUUUAAGCGUGUAGGCUGGUUUUCCAGGCAAAUCCGGAAAACCAAGGCUGAGGCGUGAUGACGAGGCACUACGGUGCUGAAGCGACAAAUGCCCUGCUUCCAGGAGCCUCUAAGCAUCAGGUAACAUCAAAUCGUACCCAAAACCGACACAGGUGGUCAGGUAGAGAAUACCAAGGCGCUUGAGAGAACUCGGGUGAAGGAACUAGGCAAAAUGGUGCCGUAACUUCGGGAGAAGGCACGCUGAUAUGUAGGUGAAGCGACUUGCUCGUGGAGCUGAAAUCAGUCGAAGAUACCAGCUGGCUGCAACUGUUUAUUAAAAACACAGCACUGUGCAAACACGAAAGUGGACGUAUACGGUGUGACGCCUGCCCGGUGCCGGAAGGUUAAUUGAUGGGGUUAGCGGUAACGCGAAGCUCUUGAUCGAAGCCCCGGUAAACGGCGGCCGUAACUAUAACGGUCCUAAGGUAGCGAAAUUCCUUGUCGGGUAAGUUCCGACCUGCACGAAUGGCGUAAUGAUGGCCAGGCUGUCUCCACCCGAGACUCAGUGAAAUUGAACUCGCUGUGAAGAUGCAGUGUACCCGCGGCAAGACGGAAAGACCCCGUGAACCUUUACUAUAGCUUGACACUGAACAUUGAGCCUUGAUGUGUAGGAUAGGUGGGAGGCUUUGAAGUGUGGACGCCAGUCUGCAUGGAGCCGACCUUGAAAUACCACCCUUUAAUGUUUGAUGUUCUAACGUUGGCCCGUAAUCCGGGUUGCGGACAGUGUCUGGUGGGUAGUUUGACUGGGGCGGUCUCCUCCUAAAGAGUAACGGAGGAGCACGAAGGUUGGCUAAUCCUGGUCGGACAUCAGGAGGUUAGUGCAAUGGCAUAAGCCAGCUUGACUGCGAGCGUGACGGCGCGAGCAGGUGCGAAAGCAGGUCAUAGUGAUCCGGUGGUUCUGAAUGGAAGGGCCAUCGCUCAACGGAUAAAAGGUACUCCGGGGAUAACAGGCUGAUACCGCCCAAGAGUUCAUAUCGACGGCGGUGUUUGGCACCUCGAUGUCGGCUCAUCACAUCCUGGGGCUGAAGUAGGUCCCAAGGGUAUGGCUGUUCGCCAUUUAAAGUGGUACGCGAGCUGGGUUUAGAACGUCGUGAGACAGUUCGGUCCCUAUCUGCCGUGGGCGCUGGAGAACUGAGGGGGGCUGCUCCUAGUACGAGAGGACCGGAGUGGACGCAUCACUGGUGUUCGGGUUGUCAUGCCAAUGGCACUGCCCGGUAGCUAAAUGCGGAAGAGAUAAGUGCUGAAAGCAUCUAAGCACGAAACUUGCCCCGAGAUGAGUUCUCCCUGACUCCUUGAGGGUCCUGAAGGAACGUUGAAGACGACGACGUUGAUAGGCCGGGUGUGUAAGCGCAGCGAUGCGUUGAGCUAACCGGUACUAAUGAACCGUGAGGCUUAACCUUAC